AUGAAAGCCUCGCGCACUUUUAGAAGUUGCGCUGUUAUUUCAGUACCGUCGUCAUCAUCAUCAUCAUUACACAAGAUAAAGCGGAACAGGCGCCUCGGCGAUAUAAAGCAAAACUUCGCAGAAAUGAAGAGCCGGCUCGAUGCCUCUCAUAAACAACACCUGCUUGUCAAUGUGGCUGAAUGGAUAGUGAGAGAGAGAGGAGAGAGAGCCGGAGGUGAGUACACAUCGUCCGCACACAUUGUUUGAUCUGUCCUGUGUUGUUUUUACUCCCACAUGGGCUGACACUCCUGACUUCCUUCAGAGAAUUGAUCUUGACACAUUUUGUGGGUUGUUGAAUUUAACAGAUUUGCAUAUGCAUACUUCUGA
rnacentral:lncRNA from 1 species